rnacentral:lncRNA from 13 species
GCUAUCUCAGUUUAAAUAAUUAAAAUGAAUUAAAAAUCAAUUUUAGCCACUCAGUCCUGGGCUCCUGCAGCAUGAUCUCCUUCCUGGCAUCCAGCUUCUUCAGUGCACAUGACCUCCCCCAAGUCAAGCACUGGCCCUUUCUUGGGCACCAGGUUCCCCCAGUGCACUGUGGCGGGCAGCUUCAUCUUCCUUGUGUGCCUUUGAUACAGAAUGCUUCAUGUCAGAUGCCUCUGGUGAACAGCUUUCCCCUUCCUAGGCACCCUGGUGUGAGGAAUUCUGUGGCUUAAAGAAGAGAUGAAAUGUGGAACGAUAUUAAUAUGAAAGACUUCUGCGAGAACGAGCAUUUCCUUGAAGUCAUCCCAGUGAUGAAUCUGGUUAUAGAUGGACAAGAGAUGAUCAUUCUGCAAGCAGGCAACCUGAAUACAGUCAAAGAGAGGCCUGGCCAGUGUUUGAAAACAUCAAGAGACACUUCACCCUCAAGUGCUUCAUCAGCUUCUUCAUCAAAGAAGACAAACCCAGUAGGCUAACUGAAAAGGAACUUGCUGAGACUGCAAGAAGGGGGCUUCUGAAAAGCUAGAGAAAUCAGAUGAAAAUACCUUGCCUGAAAUUUCUGAGUAUGAGGCAGGAUCCACAGCACCAUUAUUUACCAACCAGUCAGAGGAACCUGAGUCAAACACAGCAGAUUGAAUAGACUUAUUUGAAGAUAGUCAGCUAACCAGUCGCUCUAAAGCAAUGGUAUCCAAACCCAAAGAGAUUGAACAGGUUUACCGAAAAGACUGAACCUUUCAGGAUGGUGGUAAAAAUGCUGAUUGAAAAAGAUCCUUUAUUAGAAAAGUCUAUACAGUUUGCAUUGAGGCAGAAUUUACAUGAAAUAGAGACAGGGUUUCACUAUAUUGGCCAGGCUGGUCUCUAACUCCUGGCCUCAAGUGAUCCACCAGCCUCAGCCUCCCAAAGUGCUGAGAUUACAAACGUGAGCCACCACGCCCGGCCAACACAUGAUACCAUGUGAAAAUAUUAGAAUCCUGAGUUGUGAUUUUAUUGACUUGCUUGCUUUUUCUUAGG